rnacentral:rRNA from 1 species
UACAGAGGGGGCAAGCGUUGUUCGGAAUUACUGGGCGUAAAGGGCGCGUAGGCGGCCUUCUAAGUCGAACGUGAAAUCCCCGGGCUCAACCCGGGAACUGCGUCCGAUACUGGAAGGCUUGAAUUCGGGAGAGGGAUGCGGAAUUCCAGGUGUAGCGGUGAAAUGCGUAGAUAUCUGGAGGAACACCUGCGGUGUAGACGGCUUACUGGACCAUAACUGACGCUGAGGCACGAAAGCGUGGGUAGCAAACAGG